rnacentral:rRNA from 1 species
UACGUAUGGAGCAAGCGUUAUCCGGAUUUACUGGGUGUAAAGGGAGCGUAGGCGGCGGGGCAAGCCUGGUGUGAAAGCCCGGGGCUCAACCCCGGGACUGCAUUGGGAACUGCCCUGCUGGAGUGCCGGAGGGGCAGGCGGAAUUCCUAGUGUAGCGGUGAAAUGCGUAGAUAUUAGGAGGAACACCAGUGGCGAAGGCGGCCUGCUGGACGGUGACUGACGCUGAGGCUCGAAAGCGUGGGGAGCAAACAGG